UGGGGAAUUUUGCACAAUGGGGGAAACCCUGAUGCAGCGACGCCGCGUGAUUUAGAAGGCCUUCGGGUUGUAAAAAUCUUUUGUAUAGGAAGAAAAUGACAGUACUAUACGAACAAGGUCCGGCUAAAUACGUGCCAGCAGCCGCGGUAAUACGUAUGGACCGAGCGUUAUCCGGAAUCAUUGGGCGUAAAGGGUACGUAGGCGGUUAGAUAAGUCUGAAGUUAAAGGCAGUGGCUCAACCAUUGUAGGCUUUGGAAACUGUUUAACUUGAGUGCAGAAGGGGAGAGUGGAAUUCCAUGUGUAGCGGUGAAAUGCGUAGAUAUAUGGAGGAACACCGGUGGCGAAAGCGGCUCUCUGGUCUGUAACUGACGCUGAGGCUCGAAAGCGUGGGGAGCGAACAGG
rnacentral:rRNA from 1 species